GUGGAAACACAGGGUAAUACUGGAUACGACCUUAUCUGUGAAGGGAUAAGGGGAAAGUCGCUUCGGCGACGUCCGGGGCUGAGUCUGCGGCUCAUUAGCUAGUUGGUCGGGUAAUGGCCUACCAAGGCGACGAUGAGUAGCCGGCCUGAGAGGGUGAUCGGCCACACUGGGACUGAGACACGGCCCAGACUCCUACGGGAGGCAGCAGCUAAGAAUCUUCCGCAAUGGGGGCAACCCUGACGGAGCGACGCCGCGUGAAUGAAGAAGGCCGGAAGGUUGUAAAGUUCUUUUCCUGGGGGAGAAUAAUGAUUGGAGGAAAUGCCAGUCAGAUGACGUGAACCAGGGAAUAAGCCCCGGCUAAUUACGUGCCAGCAGCCGCGGUAACACGUAAGGGGCAAGCGUUGUUCGGAUUUAUUGGGCGUAAAGGGCGUGUAGGCGGUUAAGUGUGUCUGGUGUGAAAGACUCCGGCUCAACCGGAGGGCCGCGCUGGAAACUGCUUAACUAGAGUGAUGGAGGGGGAGCUGGAAUUCCUGGUGUAGGGGUGAAAUCUGUAGAGAUCAGGAAGAACACCGGAGGCGAAGGCGAGCUCCUGGCCAUAUACUGACGCUGAGGCGCGAAAGCGUGGGGAGCGAACAGGAUUAGAUACCCUGGUAGUCCACGCUUUAAACGAUGUGCACUAGGUGUUGGUCCGUUGAGGAUCAGUGCCGUAGCUAACGCGUUAAGUGCACCGCCUGGGGAGUAUGCUCGCAAGGGUGAAACUCAAAGGAAUUGACGGGGGCCCGCACAAGCGGUGGAGCAUGUGGUUUAAUUCGAUAUACGCGAGAAACCUUACCAGGGCUUGACAUAAGCAUGACGGUUGUAGAGAUACAGCUUCUCUUCGGAGCAUGUUUACAGGUGCUGCAUGGCUGUCGUCAGCUCGUGCUGUGAAGUGUUGGGUUAAGUCCCGCAACGAGCGCAACCCUUGCUGUCUGUUGCCAACAGGUAAUGCUGGGGACUCAGACGGUACUGCCGGUGACAAACCGGAGGAAGGUGGGGACGACGUCAAGUCAUCAUGGCCCUUAUGUCCUGGGCUACACACGUGCUACAAUGGCCGGUACAGAGCGACGCGAAACCGCGAGGUGGAGCAAAUCGCAGAAAACCGGUCCCAGUUCGGAUUGAAGUCUGAAACCCGACUUCAUGAAGGUGGAAUCGCUAGUAAUCGCGCAUCAGCAUGGCGCGGUGAAUAUGUUCCCGGGCCUUGUACACACCGCCCGUCACACCACCCGAGUUGGGGGUACCCGAAGUCGCUCGUCUAACCUGUAAGGGAGGACGGUGCCGAAGGUAUGCCUGGUAAGGGGGGUGAAGUCGUAACAAGGUA
rnacentral:rRNA from 1 species